rnacentral:lncRNA from 1 species
GCAACCUUGCGAUAAACAGUGAUUGAAAACUUCCAUAUAUCAUCAAUCUUUCACAACAAUUGAUAAACAGUGAUCCAUAAAUAACUUCGUAAAUCAAACAUUGAUUCAUUAAAUCAAUUCUCUUCACUAGAAUCAACACUAAUACAAAAGAAACAAGAAAAUUAAGAAGAAGAGAUAGCACCAAGCUUACCACGGCUCAUGACUAUCGUAGUCUGGUAUUUUCUUCCUCUCUCCCAUCUUCCUUAUAUUACCCUCAGAUACCAACUCCUAUACUAUGGAUGAUAACUACUUUUCUUGACUAUUCAUCCAUUCUACCUACUGAACCACUUUUUCAAUAGUUAUCUAUUCCUGUUUACACUAUACACUAGAUAUCUACAUUCUGAAAAUAACUACUAAUUCUACAUAGCUCCACUCCUAACUGUGCAGCGUCUCUACAAACACAGUAUUGAUAAACAAAAUCAAUUCAUUUUUUUUUU